UGAUUUCUAUGGGUGGUUUUCCAUCAGCAUUACCCAACACAGCUUUCAAGCUAGUACCGCUAGCGACACACCCUCCCUGUGCUGGAAGCUCCCCACCGCGGGGGGCACCAGCAGCCCAGCGUACCCCUCAAGGCCGCUGCGGUUCACAGACUACGCGUGGUGUGGGCCGGGGCUCAAGGCGACGGCUUCGAGAUAUAGUCGAGAUAUAGUCGAGCCCCGGGUCGAGUGAGUCGUUUCGGUGGUGGUGCAUGGCCG
rnacentral:ncRNA from 1 species